ensembl:lncRNA
CAAUACGUUUUCCCACGCGCAUUCAUCGUUCAUGAGUUUCUGCAUGGACCUAACUAGAGCACAGGUUCUCAAGCCCUGGGACAAAAUGGGAUGCUUUAAGGAAAAUGUAUAGCCUAUAUAAGUAAUAGGCCCAACAUAAAAAUAACUUCUUUUUUUUUUUUAAAUAUGCGAAAUAUAUCCGACUUAAAUAAUUAAGAUAACGGAUUUAAAACAGAAGUGUGGCUGCGCUCCAUAAGUUCACGGAAAAAAAGGAUGACAACGCAUUCUGUUUGUUUGCUUUAUUUUACAAGAGCACAAAUAUUCUGUUUUUAUUGUGUGUGCGCACAAAUAAAACUAAACACUUUUGCGGAAAAGGUUUUUUUAUGUCUCAGCUGUUUCGAUUGCGCCGGAGCCUGCUGCACACGUAUAUUCUAGCGAUUCAAACUUACAUCGCAGUCUGUUCAUUAUCUAAAUAAAAUAGUCAACUAAACAUUUAAAAGGUUACACUGGUCAGUUUAAAUAGACCGUAGGGGAGCGCGGGGCACAAAGUAACGCGGGGUAAAAAGUAACACAGACAUUUUAGAUAGUUGCAAAGGGUUAACUAUGACGUUCUCCCGGGCUUUUCACCGCACUGUCGGCAGACGUCUUCCCGCCAACUUUCGAGAAAGUUCGUCACAUAUCCGAUGAGAACUGAGGAGAAACUCUUUCGUCAGCAUGGUUAGAAAUAGUAGAAAGUCAACAACUAGAGGACAGACUACUAGGGAAGUUUUUAGUUUGGCAGCCGGAGAGGUGGAGAGAGGCAGGUCCUUGCGGAGCGUGGCAGGUAGCUAUGGCAUCUGCCAUGUUACUCUACACCGAUUCAUAACACGUAAACACAGACUGCAGGAGCAGGGAGUAAGAUCACCACUACCUCCAGUGGGUUACUCUUCACACAAAAAGGUGUUUACUUCAGAGCAGGAGGAGCAGCUUGCUGCGUAUUUGAGUCGUGCGGCAGCAAUGUGUUAUGGGCUGAGCCCCAAGGAGGUAGGCUGGUUGAACUAGGAUAAGCUAGGAAUUAUUGCUCUGUUCUGUUGAAUUCUGUUCACAUUCAAGUGCCUGUUUCUGUUAUAAAUGGUAGGUUCGUUUGUUUGAAUGCUUAGAAUAAAUUAUUUAAUACAUAGGCCUACA